GGUGGCUCAAUGGUAGAGUGCUUGGCUUGCAAGCAUGAGACCCUGGGUUCCAUUCCUCAGCACCA
rnacentral:tRNA from 1 species